CUUCCAGACCUCAUCAAUGAUCGAGCUUCUCCAGCAGUGGGACUUCUACAAUAAGAAGUCUCCAUCUGAGCUUCCACAACUGAUCUUCGUCCGAGCUUCCACAAUAAGCGGACUUCAUCUGGACUCCUACAAGAGCCAGACUCCAUCCGAACUUCUACAACAGAAUUGAAUCCCGGACUCCUCCAACGUUCGACCUUUCCUAGUGUCCUCAAGACUCCUCCAA
rnacentral:lncRNA from 1 species